GUAGAUACAAAGCAAUUUUGGUAGCUGAUGUGCCAAAAUCUGUUGCAGCUUUGAAACAAGGGGAUCCUAAAUUUGCUGAAGAUGGUGCAAAUGAUGCUGCAGUUGAAGCAACUACUUGUGAGAAUGGCUUCAAAGGAAAAUCACCACUCUCUAAUGAGAAUAUUGCUAUGCAUGAUGUAGCAGCUAUAACAGCAGCUAUUGUUAAACAAUUGCUCUAGACUCAUAGCUAGUAAUUUAUUUACUCAAAUAUAUCAUCAUCAUGCAAUUUAUUAAUAUUAUGUAUUAUAUCAUGUUUACAAUAUGUUAUUUGUCUAAUCAAAGUUUUACUAUGAACAUUGAACUUUGCAUUUACCCCUUUCACAAUAUUCAUUCACAGUCUCUUUGUCGGCAUCUAUGUGGUACUCCCUCUGGUCUUAUAUAUAAGCAAAAAUUCAUUUUUCACGUUUAUUGAGUAACUUAUGUAUCUGGUUUAUAUAUAAACCAGAUACACCAGUUAUUCAAUGAAUAUUAAAAUCGCGAGUUAACUUAAAGAAUCAUACAAUUCCACAAGACCAACAAUAAUGUCUUUUCACAUAAUUGGUCUUGUGUUUAGUAAUUUGUCUUAAUCCUAGUUAAACUUGUAUUUAUUAAUUGUGGGGUAUAGAACAUUAAUUAGGUGUGUUGAAGCUACUAGAACUAGUGAGGUUCAGAGAACCAAAAAUAGUUAAUAGAUAAAAAUACUGAUUUAGGUUGGAGUUACCUUAUUGAGGGUAAAGAUGUUUGGUUCUGUUUCUAUUUCAGAAUAGGGGACCCUUUUGUUUUGGUUGCAGCUGUUGGCUAUAGGUGACUCCUGGCUCCAUAACCUUUCCUUCCUUUGUCUUCUUGUGAUUUCAACCACAAGAACUGAAACACUCAAUUAUAAAAAUGGUUGGUUCUGAAGGGUUGAGUGAAGAAUGUGAAGUCAUAAA
rnacentral:lncRNA from 1 species